AAGGAUACAGAGUCUGUAGGCAAACGUUUUCCACACUGCAAACACAGCCUGGAGAUCUGUGCUUCACUGCUGUAUAGCAACCACUCUGUAUUACAGGGUGUAUCCAAAUUCAGAGGAAAGCUUCAGGCCAAUUGUUUUUUGAGGAACUUUCCAAAGGACUGCUCUGCAUCGUUUAGGAGACUGAGAGUGCCACGUCGCUCGGUAGUUUUAAAUGCUGAGAAAACCAUCAUGGUUACUUGUGCAGUUCUUAAUGUGGUUCUGGGUGGUAACUUUGGAUUGCCAACAUUGUUUUUUUUCCCCCAGCUGCAAGGACAUACCAUAAUUGUACUUGGCUGCAACAACGACAGGAGUGCAAAACUGGAUCACAGGGACCCUCUAGUGUUCCCAGCCUGCAUGCUGCAGCACCUUCUGCCUGAGUAAGGCAGUUAGACAUUGCUCUGCAGUCUGCUGAGUUAAGUAUCACUACUUCUGCUGCUUUUUUUUUUUUUUUCUUUUCUUCCCCUUUGGGGCUUCAAAUGCUUAUCAGGUAAAGAAAUCAAAUCCUGCUGAAUGCUGUGGGUCAGCAGAAUCGUUUUUCAGCUAUUCUGAUUGAUAAAAUGAGAAAAGUAUUUUGAGCCAUCUUUUCAGCAUCCUGCUCCAAAGAAAACAAAAGCUGUACUUUUCAACAUAGUCACAAAGAUAAUGCUUUUCACCUAUUUUUUUUUUAAGCAAAGCAGAAACUGCUUUGUGUCAAGAAUAAAAGUGUUAGACUUCAAAAGGCC
rnacentral:lncRNA from 1 species